UGGGGCUUACUAUUUUUAACUUUUUUAUUUUAUUUUUAGUAUAGUAUGAACAUAAUUAAUUAAGCAGACUAUUUAAAAUAAUUGAAAGGGAAAGGAUAACUACCAAGUUUACCUCUUGGCAAGACGUUCGGUGUUUUUAAGUCCUCCGAACGAGACUCUCCAUUUUCUCAAUUGUCCUGGGAUUCGUUGGGUGGCGUAGUCGGUACUUCCGGCGGCGCCUCCUCUUCAUGUAUAGUUAUCUUCUCUUUCCAUACCUGACUCGGUGCUUCGGUCUCCUCUGGAUAAUUAUGUUUAAACUAUACGUCUUCUGAUCUUAUCACUUCUCCUUCGUAGUCUGCCCAUCCGUCCCUGAUGAUCUGCCUCCUCUAGUUGCGGUUGCGUCGUUUUCUUACCUGCUUAGAUUCUUCAACGAUAUAGUUAGGGUCAGUAAAAUAACGGCGUACCUUCUCUGAGGGGAAGUGCAUAUGGACUUCUCCGGUUCCAAUGUAGAUGAUUGCUUUAACGGUGCUGAGGAACGGUCUUCCAAGGAUGAUGGGUGGAUCGUACUCGUCUUCUCCCAUGUCAAUAACCUGAAAGUCUGUGUAGAUAAAAUGAUCGUCUAUUUUGACUGGGACAUCAAUUACUAUUCCUUUAACCACUCGAAAUGUAUGACUGGGACAUCAAUUACUAUUCCGAACAAGAGCCGAUAGGUGACUGCGGCCAUUAUGUUGACGACCGAUCCGGUGUCGCAAAACGUCCGUUAGAAGCUGUAUCCAUUUAUGGAGCAGUAGAUGCUUGGCAUUCCUGGGUUGUCCUUCUUGGUCAAAAACGGUG
rnacentral:lncRNA from 1 species